AGUUUAUUAAUAUGUCUUCUGGCUAUAAUAUUUUUUUCUUCCCCUGGAACUAAGCUCAAAGCAAGAGCUGUGAACACACAAGACUGAUCUCUACCACUGACUUAUACCCAGGCCCUCACAGUGAUGGUGCUUUCUUAAAAUUAAAUAUCAUUUGAAAAUAACUGCUCUCUCAUUUCAUCUUUGCCUUACAGUAAGAGUUGAUGCUACUAAUAUCUGCUGCCUGGCCUCAUUCUCUUUAAGGUACUUAAUCUGCUUAAGCUUGAUUCCUUUCAUCUGCAACACAGACAUAAUCGUGUCAACCUCUUAGUGUUGGGAGAAUAAUAAAAUGAUGCAUGUGCAAUAUUUACCAUGGCUAGCAAAUGUUAAAUUGGUGUGUAACUGUUAGCCCUGGUUAGCUCAUGGGAUUGGAAUGGGAAAGCGUUCCAGUGAAAGAACACAACCAUCUAUAAUGCUCUCAGUUGAGACUGAAACCCGUUUACGUUUAUCUUUCAUUCAGAUUUGACUGAAAUAAAUCUGGCAAGUAAUUGCAGACGUGGUUCUGUUCUUAGCAUUUUCUGCUCAUCAAAAAAAAAAAAAAAAAAAAAAAAAAAAGAUAUGUUCCAGACAGCACUUUAAUUAUCCAGAAUAUUUCCCCAAAUCUAAUGCAAGAAUCUAAAGUAUGAGCAGGUAUUUUCCUUCGGGUUUUAAGGCUAUUUUUAAAUGUCCUUAAUUGGGGGGUGGGGAGCAUCUCGGUUCGUGGUUCUGUGGUUAAGAACUUGAGCAAAAGUGAGAAUCAGGGUUCAGAUCCUCAGAAUCCAUGCAAAUGAAUGCCAGUUGGGUAGAGCAGCCGGCCUAUCAUUCCAGCCAUAGAGGGUGGAGACGGGAUUCCCCAAAGCAAGCUGGCUAAUAGGACCUGCUGUAUACAGCAGCUCUCCAUUGGAAAGACCUAACCUUAUGGAAUACAGUGGACCAGCAGCCAAGGAUCAUUCACAUUAUCAACCUUGGACCUCCAUGUGCACAGGCACCUCCAUGCAUGUGAAGCCCCUGACAUGUGCUGUUCACACACAUAUAUAAAUGUGUAUGCACAGGCAUGGGGGAAAACACAUGGAAGCAUAAAUAGAAGAAAAGAUACAGGGAUUUUUAUUAAGUUGAUUUGUUGGCUCUGCUAAGCAAGAGAAUAAUAGAACCCAACUUAAAACAAGGUGAUCUUGAAACUCGCCAUGUCGGGAUUGUGUGGCCGUAGACUGAAGCUCACUGUAUCAAUGGGCUUUCCACCCUUGGUUACAGUGGCUCUGACUCUGAGAAUGAGACAUCCCUUGUCUGUGUUAGAUUUGUGGCUGGUGGCAACAGGGAUUGUUUCUACAUUCGUACCCACUGCUGUGCCUCCAGAGUUUAGUGCUAUGCUUGGCACACAUUAAGUACACAGUAGAUAUCAGCGAGGUCAUGGAGAAAUGACCAAUCUCAAGAUUAAGGGAAGUGGAAGCUUUAUUUUUCAUAGUCUUGCAUGUAAUAUUUUCAGGAGCAGUAUCUGGUAUGCUUAAAGUCAGCUCCCAAGGGCAGUGGAGCUGCUGGUGAAUUCACAUGUGCAAUGGGAACUCACAGAUGAUAGCUGAGUAUGUGUGUUCGCCUUACAUCCUGGGAAGUAAUCUAAAUUGUGCCCUUGAUGUUCCAGUGAUUCCAUGGCCCCACAGAAACUCUGUUGGUAUGGACAUAAACAAGACUCUAUUGCCCUAAAGGCCAUGAAAAAGACUGGAUCCGGUGGACUGCAGAAGUCUUUGACAUUCUUUAUGAACCUCAAAGCAAGGUUUCUGGUCUGCACAUGACCCUGUAACACUGUAUUUGAUCAAAGCAGCUUUGGUGGGUCUGAAAACAUUCUCAAUUGUAAAGCAACUUUGACAGGCAGGCAGCCUGUACAUUAGACUACAUUGUGGGGUGCCACAGCCAAGCUUGUGUGAGUCCCUGCACCCUCUCCUGGGCCUUGGGUUUCUCUCAUACAAGAAGCACAUAGCUUUCUGUUCUUGGAAAUACUUACCAGGUGAAUUCAAAUUUAAAACAAAUUUUUAAAAUUUUGUGUAGAACCUGGACUUCCUCAGAGGGCUUGUAUAAUAGAAAUUAGUAUAAAUUGAACACGAGAGUAUGUUCGGGCGUCCUUGAUACUUAGAGCUGAUGCCCAUCCUGUCUCAUGCCUUAUAAUGUGUACUUAUGUCUAGGCUCUUACGUCCUGUUUUCCUGCUUUCAUCACUGGGUAGGACUUGUAUGCAUGUGUGUUCCAUUCUGCAACUCGGGCUGUGCUGUUGUCUGUCAUGAGAGUCCUCUGUGUGUAGGAGUCUCCAACACGCAGGUGCAUUUGGUAGCUCAUGGGUGCCUUCCCAAUGAUUUUCAGACAGUGUUUCUACAAUGCUUUCCCCAUUCCUGAAUCUCAACAUGAAGGAACAUUUGGCAGAGGAUGUUCAAAUAGUGGCUUUGAAAACCCAAAUCAAACUCUGAACUCAUUUACUAAAGGGAAAGUAUAUGUGGUUUGGCUAGCCCUAAAUCACCCUCUAUGACAAUGUUUAAGCAGUGACUUGGUCUGUCCAAGCUGCUGUAAGUAUAAUAGAUCUGUGGCUUAUAAAGCAUGGUCAUUUGUCUCUUCGUUUUGGGGAUGGGAAGUCCAAUAUCAAAGUGCAUGAAGGUUCAGUGAUGGGGAAGGUUGGCUGGGGGAUUCCGGACCUGCCCUCUGGUGGUGUCUUCACACAGUAAACGGACAAAGAAGCUCUUUGGAGACUUGGUACACAGGUCCAGGUGUCACUCACAUGGUUGGGUGACUUAAUCACCUGCAAAUAUCAUACCUCCAACGAAGUCUUUUACCUUGAGCACUGGGAGGCCUACAUAUGAAUUUGGAGUGCACAGACAUCAACCCACGGAACCCUGCAAUUCUCACGGCAAUUUAGUAACUGAAAAGAUUUUUGUUGCCAUUUAAAACCAUAAGACUAAGUUGCAUAUUCUUGGGCAGAGUCCACCAAACUGAGUUCUGUACCAGUUGCUGCCUUGAUGGAUCCUACCAGGUCAGUGCCAGAGGGACAGUUGACUGUCCUUGUACACAUCUGCAGUUUUUAAAUGAUAUGCCUUAGAGCAUAGCAUGUAUCCACUAAAAUUAUAACUUAGAGUUGGAAACAAGACAAUUUGUAGGAAAAAAAAUUAUCCAAGAGUGUGCUAACGGUAGAUAAAUAUAUAAAUGUUUUGGUAUUGGCAAAGCUGCUUCCUUAUUUAUCCUCAGCUUUUGGUGAAUGCCAGAAUGAUUCAGAAGUUACUAACAGUUUCUGAGUUUAGUCCAGAGAGUUUCAUGUAACAGUAUAGUGCAAAAGGCGAGAGCUGACAGCCAUGUGUGACCAUGUGGCAGCAUCAGGAACCCUAGCAUCUAUGAGGUGAAGACAGAAGGAACAAGUUCAUGGCCUAACUGACCCAUAUAGUGAUGUUGUCCUGGAGAGGGAGAAACAGUGAGAUUUACUUCACUUUGUGUUGCUGAAUAAUAUUCCAGUUUGUCAAGGUACUCCAGUACCCAUGCAGACCUUAAAAGGCAGCUUAGUAGCUUCCAAUUUGGUCUAUGUAAUAGGCCUCUGACACACUUUGGCUCUAACGUGAGAUCUAUGAAUGUGACCAGGGACAAAGUGGUGGUUUGACACUCUAAUCUUUGUUCCACAACAGUGACUUCCAACCUUCUAAGAGACAUGAAGCUCUUUAAGCUCUUGAGUUUGUAGCUGGAGGUCUACAUCUCAGGUGGACUGUAUGACAUUUGUUCUUAAAGCUGAAUUGCAUGUGAGCACUUCCGGCCAUUUCCCAUGAGCUAGACAACAGUGUCUUAAUAUAUUCACAUCCCAAGGCCCUCGUGCACUGCCUUUAAUGCUUGGCACAGGGUAGCUAGUUUAAUCCUUACCACAAUCUUUUCAGACAAGUCCAUGGAUUUAUUUCAUUUCACAGAUGAUAAACAGAAGCACCAAGGCCAAGAGUCAACAGGAUAUAGGCUAUCGGGCUGAUGCACCAGGCACUUGACCACAGACUUUCUUCCUUGAAACAAAUGCAAGCAGACCAUAGUUCACAAGGAAAAGAGUUAUGAAUGGAAGUUGAUAGAAAGUCACCUUGGAUGAUUUUAAUAUGGACUUCAGUCUUCAGAAUGUCUCAACCAUAAAGCCCUGUUAGGGUAACUGACCACUCUGGGGACACACACACACACACACACAUACACACCCUUUAAUAGACUAUGUAUGAUCAUCCUACUUGGUUUCUGUAUUACUUUUGUUAUUGAUAGUGCUUUGCAUACAUAGUCAUGUUCUCCUGAGACUUAUUUUGAAAUUCUAUAGAACAAUGUGUGCUUCUCUCUUUUUAAUGCAAACAACAACAACACCCACAGUUACAGACUGAGACUUAUCUUUAUCAUCAAUUGAAGAAAAUUAAAUAAUCUUGAUUUUAUUUAUGAGGGUGUUUCUUGUAUCUGGCAAGUGUAGUCAUUGAUGUCACCGGCUUACAGUCUGAUUUCAACACCAAGGUUGUAGACAGUGGUAGCACAUGUCUAUCACUUGGGAGAGAGAGACAAGCAGAUCUUGGAGUCCGAGGCCAACCUGGUCAACCUAGUGAAUUCCAGGACAGCCAGGGCUACACUGAGAAUGCUGCCUAGGAAAACUAAAGC
rnacentral:lncRNA from 1 species